AGGGUUUGAUUAUGGCUCAGAACGUACGCUGGCGGCACGCCUAACACAUGCAAGUCGAACGAAGUAGCAAUACUUAGUGGCAGACGGGUGAGUAACAUGUAGGUAUCUGCCCUUUGGCCUGGAAUAACACGAGGAAACUUGUGCUAAUACCGGAUAAGUCUUUACGGAGAAAGCUUUAUGCACCAUUGGAUGAGCCUGCACUUGAUUAGUUUGUUGGUAGGGUAAUGGCCUACCAAGACUGUGAUCAAUAGCUGAUUUGAGAGGAUGAUCAGCCACAUUGGGACUGAGACACGGCCCAAACUCCUACGGGAGGCAGCAGUGGGGAAUCUUGCACAAUGGAGGAAACUCUGAUGCAGCGAUGCCGCGUGAGUGAAGAAGGCCCUUGGGUUGUAAAGCUCUUUCGUCGGGGAAGAAAAUGACUGUACCCGAAUAAGAAGGUCCGGCUAACUUCGUGCCAGCAGCCGCGGUAAUACGAAGGGACCUAGCGUAGUUCGGAAUUACUGGGCUUAAAGAGUUCGUAGGUGGUUGAAAAAGUUGGUGGUGAAAUCCCAGAGCUUAACUCUGGAACUGCCAUCAAAACUUUUCAGCUAGAGUAUGAUAGAGGAAAGCAGAAUUUCUAGUGUAGAGGUGAAAUUCGUAGAUAUUAGAAAGAAUACCAAUUGCGAAGGCAGCUUUCUGGAUCAUUACUGACACUGAGGAACGAAAGCAUGGGUAGCGAAGAGGAUUAGAUACCCUCGUAGUCCAUGCCGUAAACGAUGUGUGUUAGACGUUGGAAAUUUAUUUUCAGUGUCGCAGCGAAAGCGAUAAACACACCGCCUGGGGAGUACGACCGCAAGGUUAAAACUCAAAUGAAUUGACGGGGACCCGCACAAGUAGUGGAGCAUGUGGUUUAAUUCGAAGAUACGCGCAGAACCUUACCAACACUUGACAUGUUCGUCGCGACUUUAAGAGAUUAAAGUUUUCGGUUCGGCCGGACGAAACACAGGUGCUGCAUGGCUGUCGUCAGCUCGUGUCGUGAGAUGUUGGGUUAAGUCCCGCAACGAGCGCAACCCUCACUUUUAGUUGCCAUCAUUAAGUUGGGCACUCUGAAAGAACUGCCAGUGAUAAGCUGGAGGAAGGUGGGGAUGACGUCAAGUCCUCAUGGCCCUUACGUGUUGGGCUACACACGUGCUACAAUGGUAUCUACAACAGGAAGCAAGAUGGCGACAUCAAGCAAAUCCUUAAAAGAUACCUCAGUUCGGAUUGCACUCUGCAACUCGAGUGCAUGAAGCUGGAAUUACUAGUAAUCGUGGAUCAGCGUGCCACGGUGAAUGCGUUCCCGGGUCUUGUACACGCCGCCCGUCACACUAUGGGAGUUGGUUCUACCUUAAGGCAAGGUUUAAAACCCUUGACCACGGUAUAGUCAGCGACUGGGGUGAAGUCGUAACAAGGUAGCCAAGGG
rnacentral:rRNA from 1 species